rnacentral:lncRNA from 1 species
AGCGGCCCCAGGCCGGGCCGGAGAGCGCCGAGCCGCCAGGCAGUGGAGGAAGAGAGGAGGAGGACCCGGAGUCUCGCCGCGGGAGGGUGCCCAGGGCGAGGGCGUGCGAGGGGGAGUGACUCCGCGCGCGAGGGGCAGCAGCACCUGCUUGAGACCAAGCCCGGCGACCUGGCAAGAAUGUCAAUCACAUAUCCAGAAUAUCACCUCCUUGGGCACAGCCAGGGCAUGGUCCAUUGAAAAUGUUCCUGAUUGCUGGAAGCUGACGGCUCACCAUAAAAGCCAAAAUGGGGACCUGUCAAAAAUGUUUUAGCCAAACUAUGGCUUGGCUCAGGAAGAUGCCAAGACCAAAGGCUGCUGAACUUUAAGUAUAAACUUGCAUGAAAAGCACAUUGCAGGUCUGAGACAGUGGAGGCUUAGUGGUGAGAACAUGAGCUCUGGAUAGACCUGGCUUCAAGUCUUGGCUCUGUCAUUCACCAGCUGUGUGAAUUUGGGCAAACCACUUUUCUUCUCUGAUGCUCAGUUCCCUCACCUAGCAAAAUGGGUUAUAAUGAUGGCAUCAACUCAUAAGGUUCAUGAGGACUGAGCUAGAUAAUGCAAACAACAUGUUUCAUAUACAAUAAUAAAUAAAAAUGUUGGCUGUUAUAAUAUUGUCACUGAGUCUACAUGUAUCUGAAACUAGCUCUUUUAAAUCCUGGGUACAGCUUUACAAGCAGUAUUGUGUAGUUUAGACAGAUCACCUGAGUUCUUUCUAUGUAAUUAUUGUUUCUACUGAACCUUGGUAAAUGUGUGAAAUCACAGAAGUUUGUCCCUAGACACUCCCCUCACCCCACUGGCUCCUCUCUCCAUUCUGUGCAACCCCAUUUCUGCAGCCUUGAGCUUCAGCCCAUUUCUCUCCAUUUCCUCCUCAUUAGCAAGAACUGAUAAAAUUAUUUGAACUGAUAUGUAAGUGACCAUCUCAUCCAGAGAUAUAGUAUUCACAUUUUAGUAGGUCAGAGCCUUAAGCCAAGGCAGUGAAAUAGAGUGGAUGGUACUUCAAGCAUUCAUCAAAGUAAUGGGGAAAGUUUGGGGUCCCAGGAGACUCUUCCCAAUUCCACAGAGUCCUGCCCAUUCAUAAAACUGGUACUAUUGAUGCAUUAUAAGCAACAAGGUGGUCCGUGUUUGAAUUCUGCAGCUGGAAAAUCAAGUCUCCAGCUUUUGCAAAAGUGUUGUAAUAGGGAAACUUGGACACUAAUUUUAUAUACCAACCUCUUCUUGGUAAAGAGACAUAGCUCAUGAGCACCAAGGCCUUUCCAGCAUUGCACAUCUAUGAUACUUAUACUCAAGUGCAUUUUUUUCUUCAGAGCUCAAGGCUAGAGUUGGGUGUUUUUGCCUCACUGGGUUUGUAGGAGACUCAGCUACAAAGUCAUUAAUUGCUUUGGUGAAUCAACAAGUAAAGAAAGACAGUCCAGCUAUUGUCCCCACACUGCAAAAUCAUAAGAGGCUUCUGGACUUCUCCACAAAAUCCUCAUUAAAGAUGAGUCCUCAUGGCUCUUACAGAAUUCUUUAUUAUGUCCUUUGUGCUGAGACUGCAAGGUAAAGAAAGAAAAAAGGGAAAUAACUAAAUUUGUUAUCAUGGAAAAUUUCAAACAUACAAAAGAUGAAAGAAUUGUAUAAUAUACCCCCAUGAACUUGUCAUUUAGCUUUGAAAGUUACCAACUCAUGGCCAAUCAUUUUUCAUCUGUACCCUACUCACACACUCCCCCACCAUAAUUUUGAAACAAAUUCCAAAUAUAAUUUCAUCUGUAAAUAUUUCUGUGAUUGCACCUUUGUUAUGGCCAACAAAAUCCAUCUUUCUAGAAGAGAAGUCAUUCUUCCCUCCCUCCAUGAUGCUAAGAACAUUUGGCCAGUACCUGCAUCCAUGCCCAGGAGUGGUCUCUGGGUUAGGCAAGCUUGAGGGUUUACUGAAUGUUAUCCAAAGUUUGUCCUUUUCCUUGGGUAGAAAAAGGAACCCAUAAAAUGUCUGGUAGAGGUGCCACUGUGUGCAAGCUUUUUUUUUUUUUUUUUUUUUUUUUUGUCAGCAGGGAUGAUGCUCAAUAGCUGUGAUGAGGUCCAAGCUGAGAGAAAAGAGUCAUGAUCAUGAAUCCCAACUGGAUUCAUCAUUUUCCACAUACUUUACUUCAUUUAGCUUUCACCAAUUCUCAUGUUAGUUCCAUUUUACAGAUAAGAAAACUAAGACCUAAGCUCACCCAGCUAGUAGUUACUUGUGGCAGAGACAGACUAGAUGCCAAUCAAAUUCAGUUCCUCUUUUCUGUAGAUACAGUUAGAUUACUUUCCCAGGUUCUCUUGCAGUUAGGUUUGGUCAUCUGACUAAGUUCUAGCCAAAGUAAUAUAGGCCAGUCCCAUGAAAAACAUCUAGGGCAAUUUAGCAUGUUCUUUCUUUCUCCAUCCACUGGCUGAAUGGAAAAAAUUUCAAGGGCUUAGAAGGGGACAGAGCCACAAGAAGGAAGGAACUUGGGUCCCUGGGUGACUAUGUGAAGUAGAGGUCCCUCCCAACUUCCUUUGAACUGUGAAAUACGCAAAAUAAAUAAAUAAAUAAAUUUUUAUUAUGUGAAACUGCUGAAAUGUGGGUGAUGUAUGUUCAAGUAGUAAUGCCUACCCUGACCAAUACAGUGGCAUAGAUGGGAUUUAAACCCUCAAUCUGACUAUGCCAGUGUCCAAAGUCUUCCCCUAAACCACACUGCCUCCAGGCACAACAAAUAAGAAUUGCUUAUAAGAAUCACCUACAUGCUCAGCAUGUGAUAGGACUGUCUUCAAGGAGAUCUCGCAUCUUAGAUUUGUGCUAAUAUGAUAGCCACUAGCCACAUGGGGCUGUUUAAAUUAAAGUUUAAAUUAAUUAAAAUAAAGUUAAAAAUUCAGUUUCUUAAUUGCAGGCUCACAUUUCAAGUGUGCAGUAGUCUUAUGUAGCUAAUGGCUACCACAUUGGAAUGUGCAGACAGAGAACAUUUCCGUCAUCAUGGAAAGUGCUGUUGGAUAAUGCUGUCUUAGAUAGACCUUCAUUCACAACGCACCCCUCCCCAGACCCCUGCAGAAAAGCUGGAAGAAGACGGGGAUGCUGCUCAC